GAUGAACGCUGGCGGCGUGCCUAAUACAUGCAAGUCGAACGGACGACUUCGGUCGUUAGUGGCGAACGGGUGAGUAACGCGUUGGUGACCUGCCCCGAAGCGAGGGAUAACAGUCCGAAAGGGUUGCUAAUACCGCAUAAUUUAGUGGGAGAUUAGAAGCCUGCUAAGAAAGCCGAAAGGCGCUUUGGGAGGGCCUGCGUCCCAUCAGCUAGUUGGUAAGGUAACGGCUUACCAAGGCGAUGACGGGUAGGGGACCUGAGAGGGUGGCCCCCACAAUGGAAACUGAAACACGGUCCAUACCACCUACGGGUGGCAG
rnacentral:rRNA from 1 species